UACAGAGGUCUCAAGCGUUGUUCGGAUUCAUUGGGCGUAAAGGGUGCGUAGGCGGCGGGGCAAGUCUGAUGUGAAAUCCCGGGGCUCAACCCCGGAACUGCACUGGAUACUGCCCUGCUAGAGAUCUGGAGAGGAAACUGGAAUUUACGGUGUAGCAGUGAAAUGCGUAGAGAUCGUAAGGAAGGCCAGUGGCGAAGGCGAGUUUCUGGACAGAUUCUGACGCUGAGGCACGAAGGCCAGGGGAGCAAACGGG
rnacentral:rRNA from 1 species